CUGUAGGACGUGGUAAGCCGAGGGGGAGGCGAGGAGGGCGACGCCAAGCCCCCACUACAGCCACAUGCCCCACUGUUGAGUGCUCCCUGUCAUCCAGUGUGGAGGUUCCACUUACUGCAACCUCAACAAAACUAAAUCCUCAAGAGGAAUUUGAAAAAAAUAUGGAGAGGCUCUCUGAUAUUUUGGCGUCAUGUCCUUCUGCUGCUCAGCCUCAAAGUAGCUCUGCGUCAUCAUGGUCUUUUCGGCAGCAGAAAGCCUCAGAGCGCUGGAAAGAAGCAAGACCAUACCACCUAAAGUGCCUUAUGUCAAAAGAGGCUGUUGGUCAUCCCCUGUGUUGGCUUUGCAACGAGCCUGCUGUGAUUAGGUGCAGAGAGUGUCUUCCUGAGGAGUGGUUCU